UGAAAAAAUCAUGUAUAUAAAUGUGCCGCUACACUACUUAUGCCCACCACCAACAACAACAAGGCAAGUGAGCAACAAACUCACCCUCAUCCCUUGAUUCCUUGUUUUAGGAAGUACAAGCAGGCCUCGGAUUUUAGGGGAUGGAAAAAGUAAAAAAUAAAAAUCUGCUUCGACACUCCGCAAGGCGCAGCCUCUGCCAUCGCCUCAGGUGACAAGGUGUUCGUCAGUUCCAGGGUUAGAGCUUGGACGUGCAGAGCAAAUACAGACAUUCAUUCCUCCGACUACGUAGGAAUCUUUGCUAUGUUUACCUUUAGCUUUUAUUUCGGAUAUUUUAGUUUCUUUUGGGAUUUUAAUAAGGGGUCCACUAAAUGGAUUCCCGAGUUGUAACUUAUGGAGUUUUGGAGUUUGGAUUUAAUAGUUUUCAUUAAUGAUAUUUUGAGGAUUUCAAUUAGUAUUCUUCCAGCUUAUGGUUAUUAUUUAUUUCA